rnacentral:sRNA from 1 species
AUCCGUGGAUAUCGGGUGCGCACCGCUCCUCCUCCGGCUGUUCUCCUUCACAGCUAUGACCCAUGCGCCGCACAGGCAGUGUCCCGCUUCGUGUGCAAAAGGGCUCGUC